rnacentral:lncRNA from 1 species
UAAUCCCUCGAAUCAAAUUGCCAAACACCUUUGACAGAUUAAAAGGUUAAGCUAGACCUGAGGCGGCCAUUUGAAUUAUUGACCAAACUUCUGGAGCAAAAUGGCAAUCAAAGAACAAGUGUCUAAUUGUCUCUUCUUUGUGACAAAAACAACAUGUUUUGCUCCCCUGCCACUUAUGUUUCACUAAAUUAUCUUUUGUAAGCAGUACUUGUCUACGUACAUACCAUAGGUCAAAGGGGCUUCUAUUUUCCAUAAGUGUUUAUUUAAGUGGCGUACCUCUAAAUGGAUUAGGGCCUCAUAAUGUGAUUUCUGACCCAACCAGUUUAGAGAGCUUUCAACUGUUUUUGUUCCUGUUCCCGUGUGUUCUCAACACUGUUUCCGGAUCGAUCUCGGAAUUUCCUGGCUAAAACAGGAUAUGGUCAGGAAAAUUGAAAAACGGUGCUGGUCAGGAUGCCAACUUUUUUUAAAAGGCAGCAAGAGAUUUGUCGUAAAUUUAUUAGACGGGAAAAAGAGAAGAAAGAGUUACAACAACCACACUUAGGCUACACAAAACCUCUACUCUGACCACUACCUAAAUUAAAAACUUCGAUUUGAAAAUACCAAGACAUAACGACCCCCGACCGUAACAUAGAGAGCGAGAAGGAACAACCCCGCCAUAGAAGAGGGCGAAACUACUAACAAGAAAAGCACUUGGGAGGAAAAAAAGAAAGGGAAACCUUCCACUUCUCUUCAAGAACGGGUUCCUUCAUUGCAACAUGAAAUUGCAUGAUAUCAUCUUUACAAAGCAUAGCUACUUGACUUGCUUGCAUGGAUCGUUGUUGGAAUGUUCUCCUAUUCCUUUCCUUCCAUAUAUCCACCAAAAAUAGAUCAUUGACUCCGUCAAAGUUCCUAUUGCGGAUCUUAUCAAACUUGACUCGACAACUUCACCAAAACCCAUGAAGUGUGUGCCUGACAUCGUUACUACAUCGAGCAGUGAUAGGUUCAGCCAGC